UUAUGCAUAUGAAGUAGUUCUUUUGGAUGACAAACCCGAAAACGUGAGAAUGUUGCAUAUUGAUGAAUGAAUCGAAUUUUUUGCUUGAAACAGACAACGUUUUUGAUGCAUAUGCUAAGGCUCGAGAGCAGUUAUCAUUUGGUAUGCGAAAAGGAAACCUCUCUCUGCUGCCUCCUUCAGCCCUCCCUCAUCUCUCAUACACAAACCCGGGACACAAAGAGGAAACCACCACUCCAAAACGCAGAGGUCGAACGAAUGCAUGUGAAGCGGCGAAACACUUCGGUCCAGCUCCCGGUGUACCUCAAAAGUACACCAAACCUUAUGUCCGGUCAAAGAGAAGGAAGUUUGAGAAGGCUAGAGGAAAGAGGAACAAUGAGGGCUUUAGAGGUUGAAUCAUUUAGAAUUGAAAAUGCUAUUUGUAGAACCUAAUUUUGCUGGUCUUUAGGUGUCUGGUAUCAUGUUUAUUUCUCUGUCUAGUAAAUGUGUUGAUGAAGGCAUUGCUGGUUCAACAAGAGAGAAGCCCACUACCAUCUAUCUCGAAAACUAUCCAUGUGUAUGGUUUUCUGCAACCUGAAUGGCCAAAAUAUUUAAAAUUGUGUUAUUUUUUAUUCUUUCGAGAUGCUUAGCUGCAGCUUGCGGAAGUUGAAAUUAGUGUGUUCAGAAAUGUGAAAGGUGGUGUAUGUGAGAGUUAUGCAACUCCUAAACCCAUAAAGGUGGCUCGUGUAAGUACAUAGGUGAAAGAUAGUAGCAGCAUUAGGAAGAUUUUGAUUGUUUAUUGAAAGUCCAAUGUCUGAUAAAUAAAAGAAAAUUUGUGGC